rnacentral:misc_RNA from 1 species
GAUGAAGAACGUAGCGAAAUGCGAUAAGUAAUGUGAAUAGCAGAAUUCCGUGAAUCAUCGAAUCUUUGAACGCACAUUGCGCCCCCUGGUAUUCCGGGGGGCAUGCCUGUCCGAGCGUCAUUGCAACCCUCAAGCGCGGCUUGUGUGUUGGGCUUCGUCCCCCCGUGGACGUGCCCGAAAGGCAGUGGCGGCGUCCCGAAUGGUGCCCGAGCGUAUGGGAACUCUCUUCCGCUCGAACCGGCCCAUUCGGCGCUGGUCGAACCCCAAUUUUUUUUUACCGGUUGACCUCGGAUCAGGUAGGGAUACCCGCUGAACUUAAGCAUAUCAAUAAGCGGAGGA